GUUAAUUUUAUUUGGGAAUAUGAAGAUGGAACUGAGUGGAAAAGAUAUGCACAAAACCUGAAUACAAGAAUUGAAAAAGCUUACCAGCGCAAUACAGUAGGAAAAACUAUUCUAAAGUUCGAAAAAGAAACAUAUCUUAUACAUUUUAAAACAAUGAUAAAAGAAAACAAUAAAACAAAGAAAGAAGUUAGAGUACGCAGAAAAGAAUAGAUUCAUCUACCUUUCCCUGCCAUCUUAAUGGACAAGAUAAUCAUUGCAUUCCAUAGUAGUUUAGGAAGAACAAUCCAAUAAUUAUUAAUUUACUGAAAUGUUCUAAGAUACACAAUUUGAUGAUAUUUAGUCUUUAACUCUGUUCUGAUUUAAAAUUGAUACUUAAAUCGAGUUAAAUGACCUUGGAUUAUGUAAAUACUUAGGUUAUACAUCCAACUAAAUGGUUAUUUUGUUUCACCAAUAUUGUUUUUGUUUUUGUAGCAUAACUGAGGAAGGUUUAUUUUUAAAAAGUGCCUCGAAUAUUUAUACAGUUUAAUUAUCAUUUAAUGACUGAAUGUCACGUACAAAUGAAUGAACUAAACACUGUCACGUCCAGUAACUUAAACAGAUGUAUUAAGGAAUAUGUUAUCUUUAUCUUUUCCAUGACUGUAUAGUUGAAAGUAAUGUUGUUCAUUGAUGUGAUAAAAUCUUUUAUAGCACCCAAAAACUUGCAUUAAUAAUCAAGAAUCAAUUCAUUUUAUUUUCUUGUGUUUACUUGUAUUAUUAUGGAAAUGAAUGGUAUCGACUUGUAAGCUAAUAACACUUAAAAAAAAUGUUAUGCUCAUAUUCUAGUGUAUUUGGUAAGAAAACAUACAAAUACAGAACAGUGUGGAUUCAGAAGUGUGAA